AACGAACGCUGGCGGCAUGCCUAACACAUGCAAGUCGAACGAGACCUUCGGGUCUAGUGGCGCAGGGGGGCGUAACGCGUGGGAACCUGCCCUUAGGUUCGGAAUAACUCCCCGAAAGGGGUGCUAAUACCGGAUAAUGUCUUCGGACCAAAGAUUUAUCGCCUUUGGAUGGGCCCGCGUUGGAUUAGCUAGUUGGUAGGGUAAAAGCCUACCAAGGCGACGAUCCAUAGCUGGUCUGAGAGGAUGAUCAGCCACACUGGGACUGAGACACGGCCCAGACUCCUACGGGAGGCAGCAGUGGGGACUAUUGGACACUGGGCGAAAGCCUGAUCCAGCAAUGCCGCGUGAGUGAUGAAGGCCUUAGGGUUGUAAAGCUCUUUUACCCGGGAUGAUAAUGACAGUACCGGGAGAAUAAGCGCCGGCUAACUCCGUG
rnacentral:rRNA from 1 species